CCUACCCUUGACACUGGGAUAACAGUUGGAAACAGCUGCUAAUCCAGGAUACGACCCGAGCAGGCAUCUGCUUGGGUGGAAAGCUCCGACGGUCAAGGAUGGGCUCGCGGCCUAUCAGCUUGUUGGUGAGGUAACGGCCCACCAAGGCGACGACGGGUAGCCGGCCUGAGAGGGCGACCGGCCACACUGGGACUGAGAUACGGCCCAGACUCCUACGGGAGGCAGCAGUGGGGAAUAUUGCGCAAUGGGCGAAAGCCUGACGCAGCAACGCCGCGUGCGGGAUGACGGCCUUCGGGUUGUAAACCGCUUUCAGCUACGACGAAGUGAAAGUGACGGUAGUAGCAGAAGAAGCGCCAGCUAACUACGUGCCAGCAGCCGCGGUGAUACGUAGGGCGCAAGCGUUGUCCGGAAUUAUUGGGCGUAAAGAGCUCGUAGGCGGUCUGUUGCGUCGGGAGUGAAAACUCAGGGCUUAACCCUGAGCCUGCUCUCGAUACGGGCAGACUUGAGGAACGUAGGGGAGAACGGAAUUCCUGGUGGAGCGGUGGAAUGCGCAGAUAUCAGGAGGAACACCGGUGGCGAAGGCGGUUCUCUGGACGUUUCCUGACGCUGAGGAGCGAAAGCGUGGGGAGCAAACAGGCUUAGAUACCCUGGUAGUCCACGCUGUAAACGGUGGGCACUAGGUGUGGGGGACAUUCCACGUUCUCCGUGUCGUAGCUAACGCGUUAAGUGUCCCGCCUGGGGAGUACGAUCGCAAGGUUGAAACUCAAAGGAAUUGACGGGGGCCCGCACAAGCGGUGGAGCAUGUGGUUUAAUUCGACGCUACGCGAAGAACCUUACCUGGGCUUGAACUGCUGGUGGUAGAAGCCCGAAAGGGUAACGACCCGGAGCAAUCCGGGAGCCAGUAGAGGUGCUGCAUGGCUGUCGUCAGCUCGUGUCGUGAGAUGUUGGGUUAAGUCCCGCAACGAGCGCAACCCUUACCCUUAGUUGCCAGCGGGUAAUGCCGGGCACUCUAAGGGGACCGCCCCGGAUAACGGGGAGGAAGGCGGGGAUGACGUCAAGUCAGCAUGGCCUUUAUGUCCAGGGCUACACACGUGCUACAAUGGACGGUACAGAGGGAAGCAAGGCCGCAAGGUAGAGCUAAUCCCUAAAGCCGUCCUCAGUUCGGAUUGCAGGCUGCAACUCGCCUGCAUGAAGUCGGAAUCGCUAGUAAUCGCGGAUCAGAUACGCCCCGGUGAAUACGUUCUCGGGCCUUGUACACACCGCCCGUCAAGUCAUGAAAGUCGGUAACACCCGAAGCCA
rnacentral:rRNA from 1 species